GGAAAAUGUCCGAUUUCGAGAAAUGGGCAGGUGGAAGAAAUCAUCCGGUGAAAAACACUCAUUUAUGAAAGUGUGGCAGAAGUCAUGGUAACAUUCACACCACGCAGAGCAGCAGUGUCUCCGGCCGUGCAGAGGGUGAGUGGGAUGCCCCAUCCUCAUCGCUCCAUCCUGACUCAGACGGCCGCGCGCUGGGCCAAGAAGCCCCACCUCGACUGGGUGAUCAGUCGCUCUCCACGCCGUCAGCUGCAAGAAGCACGGAGCUCCAACCUGUUUUUGUGUCUGUCCAACAGACGGAUUAUACGCGGAAGGGAGCGGAGUGAAGAACGAAGGCCUUUCCAUGCUAUUUCAUUUGAUUUCAUCAUUUGGUUCCAUGUUGUCUCUUCACUCAGGACUGGCCUGCAUACAAGCUGAACUACAGGCUCCCCAAGCUGCAUUGCUGCACCUGCUUUAAUCUCAAAGAGUAGCUUUAAGAUCCAAAUAUUCAAGAUUUCUUGUUUCACAUGCAAGAGCUGUGUAAAAACAUAAAAUCUUACAGAGUAUUCUUAGCCUAGUUUCUAGUGCAAAUAUCUUGUUAUGCUUGAAAUAAAACAAAGCUAAACUUUUCAGUGAGAUGGAGCAGUUUGAUUUAAAGCAGCAGCAUUUUGAAAAAUCUACUUUUUUCAGCUUUACAUCAUGUUAUAAUGUCAUUCCCUCAUCACAAACAUAUCUGGAAGUGUUGUUUUGUUUUUUUCAUGCAUGUUUGAGAAAUCCUUUAAUCUCCAUGGCAACCAUUCAACUGGGCAAAACAACUGGGUGGACCUAGCUCCGCCUUCGAGACGCAACUCCUCCUCAGAGCUGCAGUUUCUAAGUUUCUAAGCUUUCUCCACACGGAAAUCCUUCAGACUAGCCAGCAGCAAUUAGCAAAUACAUGUUGAAACUGCACAUCUGCUGAGCUCAUUAUAUGAGCUACGUCUUAGCGUAAUGCUAGUAAAAACACGCGACGUUGUGAUGGAGUUUCAGAAAGAGCAGGAAGGUUUAAAGAGACAGAGGCCCAAUUUCAAGGCGUUAAAUUAUGAAGUGAAAUUUCUAAGUCACAUUUUAACAUUUUUAUAAUAACUGAAAGUAAAAUAGCUACUUGAUUAUGCUAUAAAAUAGCACUAUGUGCCUGGAAAGGCAUAAUAAGGCCCCCUUAGUUCAAUAACUUCUUAAUAUUGAUAUAAAAGUGGUUAUAAGUGCAAUAAUCUGCCAGUGGAACAACACAUUUCCUAUAUUAUAAGUUUAUGCAUGUGAAGCAAAGUUUUAACAGACGAAUCCUAAAUAUCUGGGUUAUAAUAUUAAAAAAUGUAUUUUUCCAAAAGCAGAUUAUUUCACUUAUAACUAGUACUUAUAGCAUUUUCAAAGAAUUAUUGACUUAAAGCAAGUUCCUGUACCUUGCUGAUAAGUUACCUGUAAGUUGGUUGGUUGUCUUAUUUCAAGUGUACUAAGAUUUUAACACUAGAAACUAGACCAAAAUGUUUGGUAAGAUUUGAUGUUUUUGCAGUGCAGGACACAGAUUCUCCUGCUCAAAUGACUACUUCCCCAAAAGGUGUUGCAAGAACUUCCUGGUUGCAACUUUUUGAGGAAUUUUGAGGUCAAGACAUCUGCGAAUUUCGUAACACAGAGGCCCGCAACUGUAAAACUUAAGAACACAACUUUGUUUUUUACAUCAGAGAGGCCAUUUGUGUGAGGUUUUAAAUAUUACAAGGUAGUAAGUAAAGGCAGUGAAGUUAUCAGGUCUGUAGAAAACAAUCUCUCUUAAGUCUGAUCAUUUUCUGUCGAUAAAAAGCUGAAAUUGUGAUAAAUCUCCAAGUUGGUUGUUCUGUCUCAGAAAGUACAAGCACUUUAGCAGACAUUCAGAUUUCUGUGUUGCUUUAAUGAAUUUAAAUUAAUCAGUAACUUUUUAAAGAGAGGUUUUAUGUCUCCAGUUUAUUUGUGCUAUCUGUAUCUGUUAGUUUGCAGAUGUACAUGUUUAUUUCUAAUGUGAAAAGUGAUCACAGAUUUAGAAUCUGAGAGACUCUGCUGAAGUUCCUGUUUUGUUUUUUUUUGUAACCUGAAAACAUGAAGCUAAGUAUAAGUAACACAUUGUGGUAACACACUAAGGUUUAUUGACCCGGUUUGGGUUAACAUGGUACCGUUGGGUUGAUGUUAUCCAAACUAAAUGAAAUAAACUGCUUCAGAAAGCA